AUACGGAGGGUGCUAGCGUUGCUCGGAAUUACUGGGCUUAAAGCGUACGUAGGCGGACAUGCAGGCAUCUUGUGAAAGCCCUCGGCUCAACCGAGGAAUUGCAUGGUGAACCGCUUGUCUUGAGGCGAGUAGGGGCUGUCGGAACGAUAGGUGGAGCGGUGAAAUGCGUUGAUAUCUAUCGGAACGCCAAAGGCGAAGGCAGACAGCUGGGCUUGUCCUGACGCUGAGGUACGAAAGCGUGGGGAGCGAACGGGAUUAGAAACCCGGGUAGUCC
rnacentral:rRNA from 1 species